rnacentral:lncRNA from 1 species
AGUCACAGCCAUCUCGCUCCCAGCCCCCUUAGCCCCAGUUUUCCAACCGGUCUCCCACUUUCACGUACCCUGAAGGCAGGCAUUUAAAGCAAAAAAGAAAUCUCAAGUCACCUCACAUACGGAAGGAGAGUUUUAAUUUUGGCCAGUGGCACCAAAACGGGCACUUAAAAGUAUAUUUCAUUUUACUUGUGGUAUGUGUAUGUAUUCAGUGGGGCAGAAUUCUGUGUUUUAAAAAAUCGGUCACAUAACCAUUUUGCUGCACAAACGUAUUAUUCCCGGCCUCUUUAUCCUCUUGGUACCAAGUCAGAUAUCUCCUGAAAUAAGCCCAUCAACCACUGCCAACGUUUUUUAAAGUCGUGAACCGGUGAACUACCUUUUUUCCCCCAUUGGAACAUUUUUGUUGUAUUUUAAAAUCUUGUUUCUCUUACUGGAUUAGGUUAACACUCCUUCCUUCUUUGGCAUCCUUGGUAUCUUGCUGUCAUCCUGGGGGAAAAUGCUCAGGUUUUAAGUGUGUGUUUUGCCAACUAAGAGACAUCUCUCCCUGUUACCUUCAAGUAUAGUUGCCAAGAAAGAAGUUAAAUUCAAGAGGUGGAAACACUGUCCACAAUACCUGUUUUUUAGAAAUCUGGCUCAAGAUUCAGUUUUCCCAUUACUGUGAUUAUUAUAUUUUGUGUGAUAUGUGAUGUGCUGGUGGAUGAGGUUGUGAAGUCCAAGCACUUUAACCAGAUUUUGUGUGUCCUAACUUAAUAGGUAAUCCAUUUGUGAGAUACUGAGUUUACAUCCCAGUUCCAAAGCACUUAACCGCCUAUGCUGACAGGAUCAGAAACAUUGUAUGGUUACUUUGCUCUUAAUUGUACAAAGAUCAAAUUUCCAGGGAAUUAACCUAAAAACCACAAACAUGCGGAAACGAGACUCAAAAUUCUGAGUCCAAGAAUAGGGUUCAUCUCUUCUAAUAGUCCUUGUAGUCUCAUAUUUAAGUGGAAAAGUCACUUUCAAAGUUGAGUCGUAUAACCUAUGUACUAUUUUACAACAAAAACUUUUAAGGAAAUAAAAGUCACAAAAUAACCUGAUUUGGGGUGGGGAAAAUGGAAAAAGAGAUGGGUGCCUUGAAGAGCGGGACAGGUGAAAAUAAGUGGACUGGGAGGGAGGAAGGGAAGUCACUAUUAUCACUCUGUUCCUACCCGGAUCUCUUGGGUGGAAGGUAGCUCUUUCCCUAGAAAGGAUAUUUCAGGCAUUUUCAGUUUUGUUUUGUUUUUUUUUUCAGGAGUGGGGAUAUGUUCUACGCUAUCGCCAUACCCUUUUUGCAAAGUGUUAGUCCAGCCACCUUGAGAGCAAAGUACUUGGCCACAGGAGUUAAAUUCGUUUCUUCAUUGAUACCAAUUGGCAAAUGAUAUGAGACAUGAAUUGUCUUUUUUCUUUCUUUUUUGGGGGGUGGGGACGGCACGUCCGCAGACCAUUUUGACAAGCAAAAAAAACACUUCUGAAAAAGAAAAAAAUAGCCUAGCUGAGCGUGGUGGCUCACACCUGUAAUCCCAGCACUUUGGGAGGCCAAGGCAGGCAGAUCACUUGAGGUCAGAAGUUCGAGACCAGCCUGAUUGCCAUGGUGAAACCCCAUCUCUACUUGAAAUACAAAAAUUAGCCAGGCUUGGUGGCGCACACGUGUAAUCCCAGCUACUCAGGAGACUGAGACGGGAGAAUCACUUGAACCUGGGAGGUGGAGGUUGCAGUGAGCCGAGAUGGCACCACUGCGCUCCAGCAAGACUGAGACUGUCCCAAAAAAAAAAACCUACCUGAACUAACUAUACUGCUUUUGAUGCGAUGCUUUUAAGAGAUACAUAUGGAGGUAGGGUGACAGAGGUUGGUUAAUUGGUACAAACAUACAGUUAGAUAGAAGGAAUAAGUUCUAGUGUUCAAUAGCACAGUAGGGUGACUAUAGUAAAUAGCAAUAUAUUUUAUAUUCCAAAAUAACUGGAAGGGAAGAUUUGAAAUGUUCCCAACACAAGAAAUGACAAAUGUUCAAGGUGACAGGGGAGAGGGGGCGGAAAAAAAAUGUCCAAAGUGAUAGAUACCCUAAACACUCUGAUUUGAUCAUUACAACACUGUAUGCAUGUAUCAAAAUACCACAUGUACCCCAUAAAUAUGUACAAAUAUGUAUCCGUUUUUUAAAUUUUUUAACAAAAGAUGCAUAUACCAAAAGCAUCACUCACUACUUUAGUCAGAUUCAGAGAACCCUCUUAGACCACACUUGAGUUAUUGUCAUGGAAUAGCUUUUUAAAAUGGCUGGAAAUGAAGAUAGUCUCUUGAAAGAACACCUUUUCCUACCUAUUUCAGUAUUGUAGUCAAAUCUUGAAAUACAAAUUUUUUUUUUCAAUG